CUGCGAGUGAGCCCAGGAUAGGGCUUUCCAGUUCAUCUCAGCAAUUUGUUGCUGUUGUUGGACUUCUUUCUGCUGGCUAACUGCAAUAAAUGGCUUCGUAAGGUCGCUGCUGGGAAGAGGCAGAAUAAGGAGAGGAAUAGAGGCAUCCAGCAGAGGUCCCCCACAGCUUGCUGCUGUCAGUG